rnacentral:rRNA from 1 species
UACGUAGGUGGCGAGCGUUAUCCGGAUUUACUGGGUGUAAAGGGCGUGUAGGCGGGUUUGCAAGUCGGGUGUGAAAGAUCCAGGCUUAACUUGGAGAGGUCAUCCGAAACUGCAGAUCUUGAGUGCUGGAGAGGAUAGUGGAAUUCCUGGUGUAGCGGUAAAAUGCGUAGAUAUCAGGAGGAACACCAGUGGCGAAGGCGGCUAUCUGGACAGUAACUGACGCUGAGGCGCGAAAGCGUGGGGAGCAAACAGGAUUAGAUACCCCCGUA